rnacentral:rRNA from 1 species
AUUGAACGCUGGCGGCAGGCCUAACACAUGCAAGUCGAGCGGAUGAAGGGAGCUUGCUCCUGGAUUCAGCGGCGGACGGGUGAGUAAUGCCUAGGAAUCUGCCUGGUAGUGGGGGAUAACGUCCGGAAACGGGCGCUAAUACCGCAUACGUCCUGAGGGAGAAAGUGGGGGAUCUUCGGACCUCACGCUAUCAGAUGAGCCUAGGUCGGAUUAGCUAGUUGGUGGGGUAAAGGCCUACCAAGGCGACGAUCCGUAACUGGUCUGAGAGGAUGAUCAGUCACACUGGAACUGAGACACGGUCCAGACUCCUACGGGAGGCAGCAGUGGGGAAUAUUGGACAAAGGGCGAAAGCCUGAUCCAGCCAUGUCGCGUGUGUGAAGAAGGUCUUCGGAUUGUAAAGCACUUUAAGUUGGGAGGAAGGGCAGUAAGUUAAUACCUUGCUGUUUUGACGUUACCAACAGAAUAAGCACCGGCUAACUUCGUG